AUGGAAAAGUAUAAUUUCAGUGAACAAGAUGCAACAACUGCUCAGUGCCUUAGUCAACCAUGGCUCAGUGCAGUUCCCCGCACCAUUCAGCCUUUUAUUUUUUGUUUACUGAACAGGGAUGGGAGGAUAUUACAGUCAAGCAAGAUCAGUCUGAUGAGAACCAAUCGGGGGAUUUACAGUCAUGUUUGUCCCAUUAAAUUGAUAUGA